GGGGUUGUGGCUCAGUGGUAGAGCACUUGUCUAGCACAUGUGAGGCACUGGGUUCAAUCCUCAGCACCA
rnacentral:tRNA from 1 species